AUGGGGGCCGUGUGGGUGCUGCUUGCCCGUUCGUUCCCUGGCUGCCAUGGUAAAAGACAAGUAACCAGCCCCAGAACUGGCGUACGAGGCAGAAACUGGUGGAGCUGGGCUCCAACACGCAGCGCCACAAAAGGCGAACUGGACCGGGUGGGUCCUGAAAGUCCAGCUGUACCACAGGGGGCGUUGAUGGUUCUGGAGGCCCGGCCGCACUUCUGGGGAAUAUGGGGGACCUGGUGGAAGGGUCAUGAUUUCUUCUGCUCGGCUUCAAUCAAAGCAGAGCACUCCGGGCUGCUGAACGCUUGGGAGGCUGUGUGUCGGCAGGACACACAGGAGUAGAGAAAGGUCCAGUUUAUGCGGGAGUCGACCGAGUAAACUACAACUCCUCUGCUCCCUAACCAUCGUCGGUGCUGGCCAGGGCCAGUGGGAGCGGCGAAAUGAGCCAUGGGCAAGUUUACUCAGAGCAAAAUCGUUAUUAAGCCACGCAUGCAUGGAGUGACGUCUCCUCUUUUAAUGCACGAUUUUGCUGUGUGCUCCCGAGAUGUUGCCCUUUGCGCAAUAAUAAGGUGUGCGUUGGGAACUGAGGUUUGGGGUCACGCCGUGUGCUGUGCUCUCCACGUUACAUGUCGCUUUUCUGCUUGGUGUUUUCCAGGGGGCCUGGCCCGACGAGACCUACCUGUGGCUGCACCUACCGAAUUCUCUUCUCCCCCUCAGAGGAGCUAAGACACCUGCCUCAGCAACCAGCUUGCCUUGUUACCAAAUAUUAACAUUCACACAACCCUGACUAACCAGCUAGAUCUUGGAAGACGCAAGGGAGACCGAUGCCAACAUAAGAACCGCGCCACCCGUGGGCACAGGCAAAUGUUCACGGAAGGCGAUCCCUGCCUGCUGCGGACCUUCCACCCCGUUUCUACGAUCAUGGAGCCGUAACCCAAGCCUUCGAACUCUGAUCUGUUGUUUGAAGGUGCACCCUUUUCUGCCCGUUUCCCCAUCGAUGGCGAACCUCCCAGUUCAUGGACCAAAUUCCAUUUCUUCUCCACGGAGGGCCACCCCAGUGACGCAGAGGGCCAAGCGCAUGAGUGGGCAGGACAAAAGACCAGAAAUAUCAGCCUAUCUGAGCUUAAAACUAAGAGAGGUGUUUCAGUCUUUCAGAACAGCAGGUGGGCGGCAGCCUUACCAUAUGGAAAUAAAAGCCCCGAGUGGAGCCCGUUUUUGUCGUUAGCACAUGGUGCGCACAAGCAUAUAUUUACCCCUUCGUUACGGUUUGCUAGAAGGUGCUUUGUCAAACUGCCGUCUUCUGUCCAUCUGUGGUAUUCCUGGAGGUCUGCAGACUGGAUGCAGUUUGGGCUUUGUUGUUAACAUUUGAAGAAUAAAAGAACACCCCGAAUGCUCAAGGCAAGCAUCCUCUCCCAGGCUCAUGUGCGUGGCUCAUGGAAAAAUGCCAAGGAAUGGAAAGCACCUGCAAACAUCCACGAGCAAGGAGGAACCGCCAACGCACAGCAGCUUAAGCUUGCUCUGCCCUGGAGUUUUGUCUGGUCCAUUUUGAAACAGUGCCAGUGAUGGCUGACCUCAAGGACUGGUUCAGGGACCCUAGUUUUUGGACUUUCAGUUGUCUAAAGAUCCUGCCUUACAGCUACAAAAAAUCAUAGGUGUUUCUGGAUCGUAUGUAGAUUAAGAUUGUACAAUAUCCAGAACAGCGUGUUCUCACAUUUCCUCAUCUGUUUUCUGACGUCCAGUGGAGAAUUGUAUAGCCAGUGGGUUCCUUAAGUGCUUACAAAACUAACAAGCAGGCGAAAUUUGGCCCACCCCAAGAGUUGCACAGAAUACAGAAUAGCAUGUUAGCAAAGUAAAUAAGCUGCGGAAUGGGUAAAUUUACUGUUUACAUUUUGUUAGCUGACUUGGGCUCCUUUAGAGGAAGCGGCUUUCUCCCAGCCCCCCAUCUGAAAUAUGGAGAUCAUACUGGCCUAAUUCAUGCAGGAAAGCAGCUGAACGUUUUUAUUGCAAAAUAUUCUGACAGCCACAAAACAAUUAACCGGCUGUGACUGGAGCAGAAAAAGGACAAGAAUAAACAGCUUGGGAUACUAUUUCACUGGCAGCUGCAAGAGCUUGUAAUGGACACCGGCAAAGUAAAACUGCUGGGGAUUGUGCCCUGACCUGGGUGCCACCACCAAGAAGGCCUGCUGGAACCACCAGCACAUGCAGCUGUACCUCGGAUGCCCAUCCUGAAAAGCAGGUGAAGUCAUGAAGAAUGCACGAUCCUGUACCUGAGAAAGAACUUGGUUUGAAGGACCUGGAAUAAAUCGAAGAUGCCAACAUGAUAAGUGUGCGAGGGAAUGAAGAGGCUUAAGUAUAGCUCAAAAUGAAUCAUUCAGCUGUGGAAUAAGCUGAUUAAGGGCAGAAUCCUGUGUGUGUUCAGACAGGAAAAAAGUCCUCACCCCAGCCAGCCGUGCCGAAUCUUCCUGGGGUCAGAGGUCAGCACCACGGACAGCUCCUCAGAGUUCAAGUUGAGCCCUACUGUGGGUACAUUCCCCCACCAGCUCCCUCUGCAACGUUGGGGUGCCAUUAAGGAUUUGUUUGUUUGUUUAUUUAAAACAUUUGUAUGCCGCUCGAUUGUGCCGCAGGAUGUUCGGCUUCUGUCAGGCUGAGCACCAGCGUUAGUUCAGAGAAGCUCCUGACGGCAUUCCAGGAGUCGGUAAGGGGCCAGAAGACCAAAAUGCUAGCUCAUUACCAACUUUUCUUAUUGGUAACAAAGCUGUAAGUGAAAUGUUUCUACCUUUUGGAAGAGGGAAAAAUUGCACAAAAGCUGGGAAAGACGGAAAGCUGGGGGAAAGCUGGGGAAAGAGGGCAAGACCAAGGAAGGGGUGGGGGAAACCCAACGGUCCAGUUCCUCACCCUGGCUUUAGUCCUGUUUGUUUAGAGGAGAACGCCUGCAAGAAAUAUUUUUCACAUGUUAGAAGAAUGCUAUUGUGAAAUUUUUUGUUUCUCAGUUGCAUGCCAGCUGCAACGCCUGUCUAUAAAUCAUGGCCAGUCCUUUUCUUUGCCCCCUGGAUUUCCAUCUUAAAAGACUGAUGAAAUAUAAGCACUCUCCUGUAACUGAGAAGGUGAGAUCAGCCAUCAUUGUUUAUCCGUGGCACAGAUAAGCUGAAAUAAUAAUGUGGUUUAACGUGAGCAGAUUUCUGCAUGUCCAGAAGGACAUCUGGAAAAUCUCAACCUCUCCUUAUGCAAAGAGGAAAACCACAUUCUCAGAAACAAAUCAAGAACGAUUCAAUUAUUCUGUAUUAAUCUGGAUGCUGCUUUAUGUUCAGACUAACUUUAGCUUUCUGUGAAAACAUUAUUCAAAUGAAACACAGAAAUAUAGAAACAGAGCGAGUCAGAAGGGGUCUCCCGGGCCAUCUAG